UUCCUUAAUUCAAGGGGCUGGACCCCAUUAAAAUUUUGAGUCACGUCAAGUUAGAUACAAUGUACGAUAGAUAGAACUCCAUAACUACUCACAAUUGUGUACCCAGCAACAUGAAACUAAGUAUCGCUACACUUGGAGGUAAUAGUUUGAGCACAAGAAACUACAGUACUACUCGAAAGAACAUAGAGCUUUUCCAUACUUGCAGGAACCUUUGCAGAACAUAAAAAGGAAAAAAAAGAAAAAAACAAUGAAAAG
rnacentral:lncRNA from 1 species